AAUUUAGGCAUUGGAGGAGCUGUGGUUGUGACGAUCUACAAGAUGGGUUUUCCUGAAGCUGCCAGUUCUUUUAGAACUCAUCACAUUGAGGCUGUUCCAACCAGCUCUGCAGUUGAUGGAUUUAAAGCAAAUGUUGUCUUUAAGGAAAUUGAGAAGAAGCUUGAAGAGGAAGGGGAACAAUUUGUGAAGAAAAUUGGUGGUAUUUUUGCCUUCAAGGUGAAGGACGGCCCUGAGGGUAAAGAAGCCACCCGGGUGGUGGAUGUGAAGAAUGGCAAAGGAUCAGUGCUUCCUAACUCAGAUAAGAAGGCUGACUGCACAAUCACAAUGGCUGACUCGGACUUACUGGCGUUAAUGACUGGUAAAAUGAAUCCUCAGUCGGCCUUCUUUCAAGGCAAAUUGAAAAUUACUGGCAACAUGGGUCUGGCUAUGAAGUUACAAAAUCUUCAGCUUCAGCCAGGCAAAGCUAAGCUGUGAAGAACUCCCUUUGCCUACCUUUGAAAAUUAAGAUGAGAUAUAUAGAUAUAUAUCCAUAUAUUUCAUUGUCCGAACUUAUACGGAAACUACACAUUGGCAAAUAGUGUGAGAUUUGUUUUUAAAUGGGUGUGACCGGCCCUGUUUCUCCUAAGCUCUGGGUAGACAGGCCCGAUGGUGUACUACUGCUUGCUGAAUUGCAUACAAAACUGUGCAUUACAAAGUUCAUGCGGUAAUUAUGGUUUGGGGUAAAACCUGAGUUUCAGAAUAAA